UGCUGCUGGCUUUUCUGUAAACAUGGGGCUGGCUACUACAUUUAUAUUUUAUAUUUUUUCUGUCAGAACCCAGACAAGGGUGGCAUGAAGGUGACAACCUGGAAAAAAGACAGUAUCGAACUUUUGGAGAAAGUGCUGUGGCAGAUCUUUCAAAGGGCAGAUCUUGCAGAAGAAUGGACAGAUGAUGGAGUUUUACCUCACUGCUGUUGGAGUUUUGAAGUUGAAGUCAAUGAAAGUGUGGCAGCGGCUGAAGGAAGAUGAGAGCUGUGGGGAACCGGGAAAGUUACCAUCUCUGUAAGUGGGACUUAAUGUGUUAGGGGUGAUGAAGCCUCUGAUAAUUUCUGUAUGCUUGGAAGCGAAGAAAAAAAAAAGACUAAAAGCUGCAGAGAAUAAAGACCUAAUUAUCUCUGUCUUCUAAGCCUCG
rnacentral:lncRNA from 1 species